rfam:Schistosoma margrebowiei strain Zambia genome assembly, scaffold: SMRZ_scaffold0001188
AUCCAGCUGAUGAGUCCCAAAUAGGACGAAAUGCGCGUCCUGGAU